GUUGUAACCCAGCCUAAAGGGACUGAGCUUGCAAGAAAUUGCAAGCUGUACUGACCAGACCAGCCUUAGACUACGCUUAGGGUAGCCGUUAUUUGAGUCACGACACCUCGAAAUACGUAGCCAGUUUCCCGCUCUGUC
rnacentral:sRNA from 25 species